CAGGGACACCCCUACAGGUACACAAAGAGGGUCCAGAGAAAGUUUCAGGCUCUUUGGAGAGGACAGCUGAUUGGGAGCGUUCGCCUGUCCUGAGUACCCGGUGUCUGCGACAGCUGUAUGUUUCACUGCUGAGCUCGUCCUUUAUGUUGACUUCUAUUAGUGAAUUUGUAAAUACAGCCUGAGGAAUGCUACCCGUCCCUCAGCUCUUGAACCAUCAUUACAAUCCAGAAUGGUUCCCAAGACUGAAUCUACAGAUGAUCCCUUUUCCCAGAUCCAGAGCUGAACCCUAAUGAAGCCACACAUCUCACCUCGCGGUGGUGCAGCUCUGCAGGGAGGCUGUCUCUGCAGGACGGAACCCCUUCCCUCUCAAGAAGUGCCAGGAGCCCAGACCCAUCACAAGGUGACCCCACUUGGGGGUAGUUCAGGGAUCUGCCUGAACCACUUCCUUUGAUUUUCCACAAGGUCACUUGCAAAACAGAACUGACUCAGAAAAGAAAGUCUUUGGUAUUUUGAAUCCAUUGAUACACAGGUGAAACAAAUCAGUUUGCAUUUUCCCUAUACUUUCAACACUUUGUUUCUGAAUAAUAAUAAAAAAAGUCCCUGAAGCAAAUACUAUUUUGAGCCUAAUUUCUGGAGGCUCCUAGCAGGCAAAUCACUCUUUCUCUUGCUGUGAUGUUCGUUUUAGUCUUAAAAAGAAAAGACUUAAGGGAAGAAGAUGGCUUUUAUUUUUCAAACAUUGAACAGGUGCCUUGAGGAGGAAGCCCUGGGUACCUUGGUGGCUGCAGGGGGCAGAACAGGGGGAGACAGGUAGAGGGGGCAAGUGGAGAUUUGGACUGGAAAAUAGAAUACUCCAAUUCAGCAGUUCCCAACCAGGCUGUAUAGUAGAGCCACUUGGGGAUGUUUUAAAAAGAACCAAUUCCCACUCCCCUCCCCAGGUAAUACCGAUUUAACUUGUCUGGCACAGGGCCUGGGAAUCUGCACAUUUGAAAGACCAUUCUGUACCCAGGAAAUCAGAAUUACCACAGGAGAAGUGUGGGGAACUAUAGUUUAAAAAAUGGUUGGCCAGGCAUGGUGGUUCACACUUGUAAUCCCAGCACU